rnacentral:rRNA from 1 species
AUUGAACGCUGGCGGCAGGCCUAACACAUGCAAGUCGAGCGGAGCGGCGGACGGGUGAGUAAUACCUAGGAAUCGGCCUGGUCGUGGGGGACAACGUUCGGAAACGGACGCUAAUACCGCAUAGUAUCAGAUGAGCCUAGGUCGGAUUAGCUAGUUGGUGAGGUAAUGGCUCACCAAGGCUACGAUCAUUAACUGGUCUGAGAGGAUGAUCAGUCACACUGGAACUGAGACACGGUCCAUACUCCUACGGGAGGCAGCAGUAGGGAAUAUUGCACAAUGGGCGAAAGCCUGAUCCAGCCCUGCCGCGUGUGUGAAGAAGGUCUUCGGAUUGUAAAGCACUUUAAGUUGGGAGGCGUUACCGACAGAGUGAGCACCGGCUAACUCUGUGCCAGCAGCCGCGGUAAUUC